AACGCACAUUGCACCUUUUGGUAUUCCGAAAGGUAUGCUUGUUCGAGCGUCGUUUAAACUCUAUCAAUUUAAUUAUUGAAUGUGUUGGGCUUUUCACUUUUGUAACAAAAGUGAUGCCUCAAAAUAAGUGAGCGAUCUGAAUUUAGAUUUAUAUUGACGCAUUAAAUUUUUACUCGUCAAAGAAAAUCUAUUCAGAGCAGCCAAAAAUUGUUCUUUCUUUUCUUUCCUCACGGAGAGAGAAAUUGACACCUUUUUUAUUAUCGACCUCGGAUCAAGUAGGAUUACCCGCUGAACUUAA
rnacentral:misc_RNA from 1 species